GUCCCCAUCGUCUAGAGGCCCAGGACUCCGGCCUUUCACGCCGGCAACCCCGGUUCGAACCCGGGUGGGGACGCCA
rnacentral:tRNA from 1 species